UACAGAGGGUGCGAGCGUUAAUCGGAAUUACUGGGCGUAAAGCGUGCGUAGACGGUAGCGUAAGUCAGAUGUGAAAGCCCCGGGCUCAACCUGGGAAUUGCAUUUGAGACUGCUCUGCUCGGGUGCGGAAGAGGGAAGCGGGAAUUUCCGGUGUAGCGGUGAAAUGCGUAGAUAUCUGGAAGAACACCGGUGGCGCAAGCGGCUUGCUGGGCUGUAACUGACACUGAGGAACGAAAGCUAGGGUAGCGAAAUGGG
rnacentral:rRNA from 1 species